rnacentral:rRNA from 1 species
GGAGGAAAAGAAACUAACAAGGAUUCCCCUAGUAACGGCGAGUGAAGCGGGAAGAGCUCAAAUUUGAAAUCUGGCAGUCUUCGAUUGUCCGAGUUGUAAUCUAUAGAGGCGUUUUCCGUGCCGGACCGUGUCCAAGUCUCCUGGAAAGGAGUAUCAAAGAGGGUGAUAAUCCCGUACUUAACACGACCACCGGUGCUCUGUGAUACGUCUUCUACGAGUCGAGUUGUUUGGGAAUGCAGCUCAAAAUGGGUGGUGAAUUCCAUCUAAAGCUAAAUAUUGGCGAGAGACCGAUAGCGAACAAGUACCGUGAGGGAAAGAUGAAAAGCACUUUGGAAAGAGAGUUAAACAGUACGUGAAAUUGUUGAAAGGGAAACGAUUGAAGUCAGUCGUGUUCUUUGGAUUCAGCCAGUUCUGCUGGUCUACUUCCUUGGAACGGGUCAACAUCAGUUUUGUCCGGUGGAUAAAGGUAGUAGGAAUGUGGCUUCUCCGGAAGUGUUAUAGCCUAUUAUCACAUACACUGGGUGAGACUGAGGACUGCAGCUCGCCUUUAUGGCCGGCCUUCGGGCACGUUCGAGCUUAGGAUGUUGACAUAAUGGCUUUAAACGACCCGUCUU